CCCUUAGAUGUUCUGGGCUGCACGCGCGCUACACUGAAGCGUUCAACGAGUAUUCACCUUGCCCGGGAGGGUUGGGUAAUCUUUUGAAAACGCUUCGUGAUGGGGAUAGAUUAUUGCAAUUAUUAAUCUUCAACGAGGAAUGCCUAGUAAGCGCAAGUCAUCAGCUUGCGUUGAUUACGUCCCUGCCCUUUGUACACACCGCCCGUCGCUCCUACCGAUUGAAUGGUCCGGUGAAGCGUUUGGACUAUGGUUUUCUGACGGUUCGCCAUUGGAUUACCGUGGGAAAUUCGUUAAACCUUAUCAUUUAGAGGAAGGAGAAGUCGUAACA
rnacentral:rRNA from 1 species